GAUGAACGCUGGCGGUGUGCCUAAUACAUGCAAGUCGUACGCAUUCUCGUUUCUGAUUGACGGUGCUUGCACCUAAUUGACGAGACAUUGGAAUGAGUGGCGGACGGGUGAGUAACACGUGGGUAACCUGCCCAGAAGCGGGGGAUAACAUUUGGAAACAGAUGCUAAUACCGCAUAAAAGUCAAAGCCACAUGGUUUUGAUUUGAAAGAUGGCCUUUGUGCUAUCACUUCUGGAUGGACCCGCGGCGUAUUAGGUAGUUGGUAAGGUAACGGCUUACCAAGGCAAUGAUACGUAGCCGAACUGAGAGGUUGAUCGGCCACAAUGGGACUGAGACACGGCCCAUACUCCUACGGGAGGCAGCAGUAGGGAAUCUUCCACAAUGGGCGCAAGCCUGAUGGAGCAACACCGCGUGAGUGAAGAAGGGUUUCGGCUCGUAAAACUCUGUUGUUAAAGGAGAACGUAUCUAAGAGUAACUGCUUAGGUAGUGACGGUAUUUAACCAGAAAGCCACGGCUAACUACGUGCCAGCCGCCGCAGUAA
rnacentral:rRNA from 1 species